rnacentral:rRNA from 1 species
AGUGGCGGACGGGUGAGUAACGCGUGAGAAUCUGCCUUGGGGUCGGGGACAACCACUGGAAACGGUGGCUAAUACCGGAUAAGCCGAUUGGUGAAAGAUUUAUUGCCCGAAGAGGAGCUCGCGUCUGAUUAGCUAGUUGGUGAGGUAAGAGCUCACCAAGGCAGCGAUCAGUAGCUGGUCUGAGAGGACGAUCAGCCACACUGGGACUGAGACACGGCCCAGACUCCUACGGGAGGCAGCAGUGGGGAAUUUUCCGCAAUGGGCGAAAGCCUGACGGAGCAAGACCGCGUGAGGGAGGAAGGCUCUUGGGUUGUAAACCUCUUUUCUCAGGGAAGAAGCUCUUACGGUACCUGAGGAAUCAGCCUCGGCUAACUCCGUGCCAGCAGCCGCGGUAAUACGGAGGAGGCAAGCGUUAUCCGGAAUUAUUGGGCGUAAAGCGUCCGCAGGUGGCGAUUCAAGUCUGCUGUCAAAGCACGGGGCUUAACUCCGUAAAGGCAGUGGAAACUGAAUAGCUAGAGUGCCGUAGGGGUAGAGGGAAUUCCCGGUGUAGCGGUGAAAUGCGUAGAGAUCGGGAAGAACAUCGGUGGCGAAAGCGCUCUACUGGACGGCAACUGACACUCAGGGACGAAAGCUAGGGGAGCGAAUGGGAUUAGAUACCCC